GCCAGCAUGGUGCAGUGGUUCGGACACUGGACUGGGGCUCUGGAGACUAGAGUUUGAAUCCCAGUUCAGCCA